UCUAUAGUGAUAGAGGCGGUGCGCCGGGCGGGCGAGGGGGCUGCGCUGGGGACUCCGCGGGAGGAGCCGCUGGGACACGGGCUGGUGCCGGUUCCGCACCGUGUUUGACUGCUAACAUAUGAGAUUCCAGUGCAGAAAGGGUAGUGGAUUUGAUUAUAGAGGACCCAAGAUUGGAGGAAAGAUGGAGAAAAAAUCCAAGGGCAGUUUAAGAUCUUUCAAGACAGAUGCAGCCCAGAAAUUGCAUACUCCCAAAGUCCAUGGAUUUGGACGAUCUGUUACUCCCCGGCCUGGUGGGAAUCAGUGUUGGAAUGGGAGUCAUCUGGUUCCAUAUCGGGUCACAUACACCUGGAACCGAGGUGGGAGGUUAAAAGAACUCCGUAUCAGGCAUCUGGCCAGGAAGUUCCUCUAUUUGUGGGUGAAAAAGACAUUUGGACAAGUUCUUCCUUCCAAAGCCAGAUGUCAUUAUGAUCGGAAGAUUCUGCAAAAAACCUUUGGCGAGUGGAAGGAGGAAUGGUGGAUUGUCUGCAGAGAGUGGAAGCUUAGUAUCAGAGCUGACUGCCAUUACAGAUAUUUCCUGUACAACCUGAUGUUCCAAGCCUGGAAGACAUUUAUAUGCCAGCGGCGAGAAAAGAGAAGCAAAUAUCAUGUCGCAGAGGCUCAUGCGGAGAAGCAGAAACUGCGCUGGACAUGGCAGCAUUGGCUGAUCUACAUUGAUGUUCGCAGAACCAAGCAUAGGAUGGGAUCCGAGGCAUUGGCGUUCAGGGAAACAAGCACUCUGCGCGUGUCAUGGAGAGUGUGGACAAGACGACUGCGCCAGAAUCAUACUGGCCGUGAGAUGAAUACUCUGGCUCUGCAGCACUGGGCCCAGAGCCUGCAGUUUCGGGCCUGGCUACAGUGGAUGGAGCUGUAUUUGCACAUCCAGCAUGACAAGCAGAAAGAGGCCUGGGCUAUGAAUCAUCAUCAGCACUGGGAGCUGAAGAGAUGCAUGAAGGCCUGGCUCAGGCACCUGCAGCUUCAAAGAGAAAAGAAGCAUCAGGACAAGCUGGCUCAGCAACAUCACCAAGUCUCUGUGCUCCAAUACUGUUUCUGUGGCUGGCGACGGGCCUGGGAGCACAGGAGAAGCAUGCAAAUCCACCAGGAGUGCAUUGGUGAACUAGCAGCAAGGAUUACCUUACGGAGAGUCUUCACACACUGGAAGCAUUAUGUUGUACUGUGCAUGGAAGAGACCUGGAAGCACAAGCUGGCAGAAAAGCAUCACCGGCACCAUCUGCUGCACUUUGGGUUUAAUGCCUUGCGGAAGAACAUUAUAAAUGCUCGUCUCCAGCAAAUGAGAAGAAAUUUGGCUCAUCGGCAGUAUCAAGUAAUGUUGCUGCAGAGCUUCUGGAAUCGCUGGAAGUGUCGGUUAGAACAGGAGGAGGAAGAGCAUCAGCGGUCCCUGACACUAGCAGCUCACAACCACUACAGGGUAACGCUCCUGCACAAGUCUGUCAGGUUGUGGUUAAGGAAUGCCAAGUGGAGAAGACACAGGCAGAUGCAAUAUGCCAAAGCUGACAGUCACUAUGGAAGAGUGAUCUUGCCUGUCACCUUCCAGGCCUGGAAGAGUUUUAAGAACUAUCAACGCUGGUGGAGAGAGAUGAAGGAAAUGGCAUCAUGCUUUCAUAGGGAAUUGUUGAUGAGACAGGUAUUUGACACGUGGUGGCUGAGUGCAUGUCAGCAUCGAGAGAACCGUACGAGAGAGAGAAUGGCCAUUCUUCACUCUAAGCAGCAAGUGUUAGUUCGUUUCUGGUGCUCCUGGCGCAGGAGAACAGUGGUGUGUUUGGAGGAGCGAGAGCGCACGGCUCUUGCCAGUGAUCAUUACUGCUACCUACUGCUGCGGAAGACUUUCCAUUUCUGGAAGAAGAACAUUCAGGAGAUUAGAUCAGAGAGGAUCAAGAAGGUGAAAGCUCUUAGGUUUCACUAUUCAAAGUGCCUGAAGUGGUCUUGGAGCAAGUGGAGAAAGUAUGUGGGACAUCGGUCUAAGAAGUGGAAGACAUUGGUGCGAGCAGACACGUAUUAUCAGCAUUCACUGCUGGCCAGGGUUUUGGCUGCCUGGAAGAGUUACCAGCAAAACAUACAGUGCAUUCUACGCCAAGUCGAUAAAAAGGAUGAGGAGCGUAAUAGGGCGCUGUUGCGACAGAUACUGAGUAUCUGGAGAGAAAAUACUGUUGCCCUUGUGGGUGAAGCUAAGAAGGCUGUACAGGCAGAACUGCACUACAGGAGAUCAACUCUCUCAAAGGUGCUACUCCAGUGGAGGGACACUACCUGUCUGUGGGUGUACCGCCGUCAGCAGGAGGCAGCGGCUCUGAGGCAGGCCAGGAGGUGUUUGGAUAUGGUGCAUUUAAGGGCCACAUUUCUUCACUGGAAGGAAUUCACCACGAGGUCCUUGGUGCUGAGAGUCCAGCUAGACACUGCAGCUCAGCACCACCAGAGGCAACUGCUGCAAGAGUGCCUGGCAAAGUGGAAGCAGUAUCAUCUGCAGUGCAUAGGAAAGAUGCUCCUGCAGAGACGGGGAGACCAGCUGAUGACUCAGAGACUCUGCUCUACCUGCUUUUCCUGCUGGAAGAGACAGCUGGCGCAGAAGCAAUGGGAACGGCAGGAGACAGUGCGGGCACUGUGGCAUUGGUCACUCUCACUGCAGGGGAAGGUGUUUGAUGCCUGGCUGGGGUUUGCCCUGGAGCGGCAGCGGAAGAAGGCCCGCAUUGAAAAAGCUGUAGCGGUUUACCGUGCUGCCCUGUUGAAGGAGGGUGUGACCCAGAUCCUGACGUAUAUGGCUGGCAUGAAACAGUUACGGGGGCAGCUUCAAGCCCAGCACCAGCUGAAGGCAGCCUACAGCCUUCACCAGACAGUGUAUCGUUGUGCCAUGCUGUGGAAGCGAAAGGCUCUCUGCAGGAACCUGGACAAGCCUCACUCCUCUCUCUCUUCUCUGAAGAAGAGGGUGACAUUUAAGAUGCCCAUGCCUGUUGCCAACCCUGGGGCAGGAGGAGACGCAGCAAAGGUAGUGACUCCGUGCUCUAUGCUGCAGCCCGUGAAGAGAGACAAUUUGCCAUUCCUUUUUGCUGCUGAGGAUUUCGUUCUUAGUGAGCUAAACGCAGUCCGCCAGGCAAGACUACAGCCCCGUAGACCUGACUUCCUGCUGCAGUCUCUGGAGGGAGAGGGCUUGUUGGGGAUACCUUUCAAUGAACUGGAGGGACCAGAGGUACCUUUGCUGCAAACAUCCAUGAACAAACAUCCUGCUCAGGCUGGGGCCUUACUUGCCUCAACUCAUACAGAGCAAAGUAGCUGUAAUCAGCUGUUCCAGAUGGGUAGCACUAGUUUCUCCUCAUGCCCCCUUACUGUGCCUACCCCUCUAACCUGUGUACCAUCUUGGACACGUGGCACAUGCCAUCCUGCUCAGACUAGUCCAAAGCCAGUGCUAUUGCCUCCCUCGUCCUUCAUGUCACGUUUGAGAUGUGAAUCAGAAAAGAAUGAGGGUCAGCCCCUGAAGAGUCACGUGGAAACUUUUCUUGAAGACCCUCAACAGGCCACUGUGGGGAAGGAGAGGAAGCAGCCAAACUCGGAGGGACAUCUACUGCAGCCCGAAGUUGCCACAGGAAAAGAGAGCAAGCCAAAAACUGCAGUUAAGCACACAAGUGGGAUAGGUCUUUCAGGCUCCGGUUAUUACAACAGAGGCAGCACAUCACAUGAUAGCAAUCAGAACCCACAGGCAUGCCACUGUGUUGAAAGUCAGAGGAGGCAAGGCUAUUCCACGGAGGGAACAGAGCUGCAGAAACAGCUGGAAGCAGAGCUCCAACACAUCCAACAGCAAAUGCAGCAUUACCAUGAUAGCAAGCAGGAGCUCAAGUCAUGCCGGCGGCAGGCGCGCAUUCUGCACAAGUGGCUAGAAAUGAGUACCGGGGCAGUGGAGCAAGAUGUUGUGCAGCAAGUUCAAGAAGAGCUGGAUCAGUUGGAGGUGCAGAUCAAAGCUCUCACCAAAGUGUUGCUAGAAGGGAAACAUUGUCUGCAGAGCUACAUCACCCGUGUGGAGGAUAUUCGCACUGCUUUGGAUAUGUAACAAGUCUAAAACCUUGGAAGGGUUGUUCAUGCUCAGUGGUAGAAUGGGCUGGCUGUUCGAUCUUUGAUUAUCUGCUUUUGAUGUCAGAGAGGACAUACACCUAAUGUACGUGAUCUCUGACUUUGUGAAGGGAAGUAAACCAAACUGCUCUACCAGUUAAAUGUAUGUUUCCUUUUGCUGCAUGCAUAUGGGAGACAUUACCUCCUUUAUUUACCAUAGCUUUGAUAAGGAACAGGACACUGCUGUGCAGCACAAAGCUGCACUCAUCACAGUCCUUAGCUGAGUAUUCAUAGAGCCCAUCACUAUAGUAUCUAUUUAAAUGCCCUUGCUUAUUAAGAAGCUAAACAAUGCUGAUAAGACUUUUAAUUUCAAACAUUUUAAAAUAAGAGUUAAUGUUCAUAAAUCAUAGUGUGACAUACAGAAAUACUGGGCUAGUGUUCCAGUUAAAAAAUUAAAUGGAUUCUCUCUGCAGGAGAAACUUACAGCAUGGCUAGUAUUCUCCAGAAACCCUGCCUUUACUUCCUCUGAUCAGUUGGUAAGACAUUCCUGCUAGCCAGCCAAGUUUCCACAGUGCUAAAACCACUACAAAAAGAGCUGAUCUGGUGCGGAAUGAUCUGUUUGACACAUUCAUAGUAAAGAGAACAGUAGCAACUUCUGUCAGCCCCUGUUAGAACUGGGUGCUCAGAUACUGUGAUGGCUGAGGAGUGAGGAAUUUAAAGCUUAAAUUUAUUUUGGCCACAACUAAGACAAAAGGCCUCAGAGGAGGAAGAGAUUCAAUCUCUCUUCCUCUACCCCACUGCAACAGGCUUGUGCUGUUCACAGAGCCUCUAGCACCUGAAGGGUAAUUAGUCAUAGCUUCAACCUUUAGGGCUGAUGAUGUCUGGAUGCAUUUCACGCCUAGCUAGAAUAAGAACAUUGUGAUGAAUAAUACACAAGUUCUGAACUUCCUAGCAGUAAGGGGCUGAACAAAGUGGGGGGGGUGACGGGGGACUAAGAGCGAUUUUAAGCAGCCCCCAUUUAAUAUGAGGAAAUGCUGACUCUUGGAGCCAAAGGAUUAGUUCUCUCCUACGUUGACCAAGACAGGCUGUAUUACCAGACACUGAGCAUAAGUUAAGUGUAUAGGGCUUGGCCAGCUGUACAUACUUGAUUCUGUCUUCUCCAGCACAUCCAGGGGAGACAGACUUUCCUUUACAGUGCUCAGUCUCAUUUUUAAUUAAUUCUAAAAGUUUGUUUCAGAAGAUCCCCUUGGAACUGCAGGCAGAUCUUUAAAAAAAAACACCAGCUGCCCCUCAAGCUGAGAAGGAGUAGAUGACCUCACAGGAAGAUGGGAGGGCCAGGUUUGAUGAUAAGCUAGUCCAUUCCUUCAAGCUCAGGGUGUCCCAUUCAUUUACAGGCAAUAGACUUCCUUGGCUCAAAAUAGAAUUUAUUCAGUAAGAACAAGCAGUACAUUGCAGGAGAAGUGAGUUGCUCUCAACCCUUUUGGCACCAGUUGCUGUUAAUCUCAUUACUGGUCAUGUGAAGCUUAAAACUCCUAUUCUUAGUGUCAUGUUCCAUACAUUAAUAAAGGAGGUUGUUACUAUUUCCAUC